UUCAAAAUUCUCCCCAACCGAUUGCUGCCAGAACUAGAAUCUGGAUGACAAUGUCUCUAAAUGACCCGGCCUCUGCCGAACUCUGUCUCUGUACGAAUCGUUCAUGCUGUGCCCCGACUUCUGACAAGCCGCCUCUGCAAAGACCUAGUUCGAUAGACGGUCAGGCGCAGAACGAGUCAUACAGGGAACGUGUGAGGGAGAGACCGAGUCAAGCACAGACCGCAUCAGGCAGAACACCUGUGCACAGGCCGGGUCCGCAGAGGUUGGGUGAAGCACAUACACUGUCAGCAGAGCCGGGAGAAGCACAGGGGUAAUGUGGUUGAAACUGUGUGAGGCUAAUACAGUCCGGAAGAGACCGGGUUCAAGGAGAGAACAGUUCUGUUGUGGAUGGUGUCACUUACGGGCCGUCGUUUUAAAGAACGUUUCGGACAGAGACCGUGUGAGGCAAGGCCCUUGUUCGGCAGAGAACGAGUCCAGCAGAGACCAGGUGAGAGAGAGACUUAUUAAGGCAGAGAGCUCGUGAGGCCGUGAUCGAGUCAUGCGGAGACCUGGUGUGGCAGAAAUGAGUUCUAGCAGAGAGCUGUUCUGGUGAUGUUCGGUUGGGGCGAAUUUUGAGAAUUUUUCAAAAUUUUCAAAAGAUCAAAAAUUGCUGGAAUUUGUCUAAGAACCAAGUAAAACAAAAAAAUUUAAGUUAUAAUUUUUCAAAUGUUUUAGUUUUGUGCGCCAUUUUAUAAUGUGUAGAGAAGCUGACCAUCAGCCCAAAUAAAAGAGAAAAUACAAUAAAGAAAGACAAAGAAGAAAUGAGACAUGUGUGAAAUCCUAACUUUCUGCUGCUGGAUUGCCAUGAACCACACACUGGUGAGAGCAUUGUGGCUGAGUUUUCUACUCAUCAGAGUAAUAGACUACUUAUUCCAGGUGGCUGUAUCUCAAAACUCCAGCACCUUGAUGUUAGUUUGAAGAGCAUGUUCCAUGUAAGUAAGUCUGUGACGUAACAGCUCCAGAGAGCCAAAGCUGACUAGCUUGACUGCUGGCCUCACGUUCACAUGCCUAAGCAGAGGCAAACGAUCAUCCAACCAGAUAUAGAGUGACGUGUGGUCAGCAUG